UCUGCUGUUAAAAGUGGAGCUUAACUCCAUCGUGGCAGUGGAAACUGUUGGGCUACAUUGUGGUAGGGGCAGAGGGAAUUCCCGGUGUAGCGGUGAUAUGCGUAGAUAUCGGGAAGAACACCAGUGGCGAAGGCGCUCUGCUGGGCCAUAACUGACGCUCAUGGACGAAAGCCAGGGGAGCGAAAGGGAUUAGAUACCCCUGUAGUCCUGGCCGUAAACGAUAAACGCUAGGUGUCGGGGGAAUCGACCCCCUCGGUGUCGUAGCCAACGCGUUAAGUGUUCCGCCUGGGGAGUACGCACGCAAGUGUGAAACUCAAAGGAAUUGACGGGGGCCCGCACAAGCGGUGGAGUAUGUGGUUUAAUUCGAUGCAACGCGAAGAACCUUACCAGGGUUUGACAUCCUGCGAAUCUCCUGGAAACGGGAGAGUGCCUUCGGGAACGCAGUGACAGGUGGUGCAUGGCUGUCGUCAGCUCGUGUCGUGAGAUGUUGGGUUAAGUCCCGCAACGAGCGCAACCCACGUCUUUAGUUGCCAGCAUUCAGUUGGGCACUCUAGAGAGACCGCCGGUGAUAAACCGGAGGAAGGUGUGGAUGACGUCAAGUCAUCAUGCCCCUUACAUCCUGGGCUACACACGUACUACAAUGCUACGGACAAAGGGCAGCAAACUCGCGAGAGCUAGCAAAUCCCAUAAACCGUGGCUCAGUUCAGAUCGUAGGCUGCAACUCGCCUACGUGAAGGAGGAAUCGCUAGUAAUCGCAGGUCAGCAUACUGCGGUGAAUACGUUCCCGGGCCUUGUACACACCGCCCGUCACACCAUGGAAGGUGGCCACGCCCGAAGCCGUUACUCAACCCUUUGUGGAGGAGACGUCGAAGGUGGGGCUGAUGACGGGGGUGAAGUCGUAA
rnacentral:rRNA from 1 species